GUGCUCCCUUCGGCAAUACUGAUACUAAAAUUGGAGUGAUACAGAUUAGCAUGACCCCUGCGCAAGGAUGACAAGCAAAUUCGUUAAUCGUCCCGUAUUUUU